AAAAAAAAAAACUAAUAGAGCAAGAACUUACUAACCGUGAGGAUGGUACCAAGCCAGUCAUGAGGCAUUCACCCCCUUGACACAAACACCUCCCAUGAGGCCCCACCUCCAACAUUGGGGAUCAAAUUUCAACAUGAGAUUUGGAGGGGUCAAAUAUCCAAACCAUAGCAGUGGGCAAGCCAUAACUUUUGGGUUUGUUAGAUGGUAUCCUCAACUGUUAUAAUUGAAAAGUCCAUCCUCGAUGCUUUAAUUCAUAAACCAUGUAUCAAAUUCACUUGAUUCUUUUGUGUACUUAUUUGUGGGGUUUUUUUUUUUUUAAGAUAUCCUUGGUGGAUGAAUUAAAAACCUGGUGCAUGUUAAAGAUUCAGAAUCUGGAGCAGAAGCUUUCUGGAGAUUCUAGGGCCUGCAGAGCUAAAUCCACACCAUCUACUUGCGAGUCCUCUACAGGUGUGGAUCAAUUAGUGGUGACUGCAGGUCCAGCAGCAGCUUCCGACAGCUCCCCUCCAGUGGUUAGGCCCAAAGAA
rnacentral:sRNA from 1 species